UACGUAGGGGGCGAGCGUUGUCCGGAGUUACUGGGCGUAAAGGGCACGCAGGCGGUUCGAUAAGUUUGAGGUAACAGCUCCUGGCUUAACCGGGAGAGCGCCUUGAAGACUGUUGGACUUGAGGGCCAGAGAGGGACACAGAAUUCCGGGUGUGGUGGUGAAAUGCGUAGAUAUCCGGAGGAAUACCAAAGGCGAAGGCAGUGUCCUGGCUGGUACCUGACGCUGAGGCGCGAAGGCCAGGGGAGCAAACGGG
rnacentral:rRNA from 1 species